AGCUGAGGGAUAGCUCAGUAGAGCAUGAGACUCGGUAGAGCAUGAGACUCUGAAUCUCAGGGUUGUGGGUUUGAGUCCCAUUUUGGGUG